CGUAUGGUGCAAGCGUUAUCCGGAUUUACUGGGUGUAAGGAGCGCAGGCGGUACGGCAAGUCUGAUGUGAAGCCCGGGCUCAACCCGGUACUGCAUUGGAAACUGUCGGACUAGAGUGUCGGAGGGUAAGUGGAAUUCCUAGUGUAGCGGUGAAAUGCGUAGAUAUUAGGAGGAACACCAGUGGCGAAGGCGGCUUACUGGACGAUUACUGACGCUGAGGCUCGAAAGCGUGGGAGCAAACAGGAUU
rnacentral:rRNA from 1 species